rnacentral:lncRNA from 1 species
UUUAAAUAAAACUAUAUAAUUUUUAAUAUAUCAAAUUAAAAAAAAACAUAUUACAUACUAAACUCUACUUCUAUCCUCUUCUCAUCUCAAACUGACAUCAACCUUCUCAACUCAAGCCUCCCCUGGUGCACCACCCUCGCAAACCCUCAUAACCGUCGCCAACCUUGCUGUCUCCCGUCACUGUUGCUGACGUCGCCGUUGAUGCUAUUGCGUCGCCCUUGCUGCAGCCGUCGUAGUCCUACCUGCAGUCGCCUCCACCCUUGUUGUCGUCGUUGCUGCUGCCCUCUUCUCAGCCGCUGCUCCAGUCUUCUCAUCCGUCUUCUCAAUCCUUGCUCCCGUCGCUGCUGCCCUCUUCUCAGUCGUCUGCUCUACCCUUUGAAGUUUGUUUGAACAGGGGUUUGAAGUUGGAAUCUAUACUAGGUAAAAGUUUACAUGAUAAAUACUCUAUUAUCAGAUUGCUAGUGUGGUUCCUCUCAGUUAUGCUCAAGUAGUGGAACAAGAAUUCAACUUGCUUGUGAAAUUAAAUAUGACAAUCGACAUGUUCUCCUAUCGGUCCCAUUAUCAUUUUUUUUCUUCUUUUCUUGUGAAGUCAGAUCUGUGCUUAAAUGAAUGGGUCAAUUUAUUAAAUAAGAUAAUAAUGUGUGUACAUUAAGGACUUUUUCAAGAUCUGUAUUUAUG